UCGAAAUACCAGGAAUUCCCAGGGGGAUCACAGCACUCGAGCCAGGAGCGCCCGCGCGGGGCCCUCGGAGCUCCUGCGCCCGCCCAGGCCUUUGGGACCGGCAGGGGGCGCUGUGCCUCCACCGCGCCGCGUUGGGCGCAGGCAGCCGAGGAGGGGCGGAGUCGCCGGGCCACCCCGCCCUGCCCAGCCGGGCCCUGCCCGCAGGCCGAGGCGCCCCCGAGCCCGGAUCGCGCAGCCCAACAGUCCGCAAACAAAGCUCAGGUGGUUUCCUGGCCUGCCGGUCGGGCUGAAACCAACAAGGCAGGGGGAAACCCAUUAUUUCUGAGGUCUCGCCUCUGCCUCCACGCCCACCUUCCCCUGCGAUUCUGCGAAGCCUGGGCGCGCCUCGGCGGCUCAUUUUGCAUUUUUAACGGGUUUAAAGCCUCUUGGCAGACCUCGCUUUCCCCAGUAGGUUAGAGCAGGCGAAGCGACACGAUCUCUUCUCUAGGAAAAGAGGCGUGGUGGGUGCCCAGUGUUUGCGAAGCAGCCACCCAUGGCCGACCUCUCGGGUCCACCCAACCGUGGCUAUCUGCCUGGGUCCGGGUAGCGCCGGGCGGCCCCCCGCGGGUGGUCGAGGCGCCACGCACAAGAACAAUCCCAACCGAAAGGCACGAAUCGCCUCUUUUUGACCAUCUGGAAAGGUUCUUAAAAGACCCACCGAGUGUUCCCACCCCACAGAUACCAUUUAAAAAUCAAAUGGGUGUGUAAUUCCACAGACAGCUACGAAUAAAGAUUUAGGACAGUGGGAAAGCCUCAUCAAAAGACUAGAAUCCAGCCACACUCCUCUCCACGAAUGAGCCUUGGGAGCCACCAGGAGGGAAGGAGAGAAAGACACCAAAUAAACGACCACAACCACAGGUAGAAUUUACCUGCCCGUUCGCUUUGGAAGGCGACGAGGCCACAGCCGCCUCCCCGGGCCUCUCCGCGGCGGCUUCUCCCUUCGCUGCGGUCUUGGAGAACUGGGCACCCAUGCUGGCUUCUUCAACAAAGAAACUCAACAGAUCCAGGAGGGGAAACAAAGAGCCUCGGGUUGGUGUAACGACGGGGCGAGCAGCAGCAGCAGCGGCGGCGGCAACAGCGGCAGCGGCACACACACCGGAGGGAGGGGGGUGGGGGUGGUGGAGAAGACAGAACAGAACCGAUUAAAUACACUCCGGAUAAAAAAAUUUUAGUCGAAGAGAUCAAAAAGCAGCAGCACAGGAGGGAGGGAAAAAGGGUGGAAAAGUCGAGCACAAAAAAAGGAGCCCAAGUGUAGUUCGAAAAAAAAAGAAGUAAUAAAAAAAAUCCCAGAUUUGUAGCCGCACUGUAGACAAGAGGAAAAUGGAGAAAUCUCCCUGGUUGCUAAUAAGAUGCGGGGUC